AGAUUGAACGCUGGCGGCAGGCCUAACACAUGCAAGUCGAGCGGUAGAGAGGUGCUUGCACCUCUUGAGAGCGGCGGACGGGUGAGUAAUGCCUAGGAAUCUGCCUAGUGGUGGGGGAUAACGUUCGGAAACGGACGCUAAUACCGCAUACGUCCUACGGGAGAAAGCGGGGGACCUUCGGGCCUCGCGCCAUUAGAUGAGCCUAGGUCGGAUUAGCUAGUUGGUGAGGUAAUGGCUCACCAAGGCGACGAUCCGUAACUGGUCUGAGAGGAUGAUCAGUCACACUGGAACUGAGACACGGUCCAGACUCCUACGGGAGGCAGCAGUGGGGAAUAGUUGGACAAGUGGGACGAAAGCCUGAUCCAGCCAAUGCCGCGUGUCGUGAAGAAGGUCUUACGGAUUAG
rnacentral:rRNA from 1 species